AGGGAGCGUCGGCCAAGAGCCGGUUCGUGCGCGCGCCGCACAGUCAGAGUUUGGGGCUGGAAAUGCGUCGCCCCAGACCCCAGUCAGGUCGUGGUUCUGCUGAGUCUGUAGGCCAAGACCCAUUCAGCAGUUCUGCAAGAGCAGCUCGCGCCAUCCACCCGUAAGGAGUGCCCCGUGGGUGAUCUGCUGGAGCCGGAUCAGCGACCACCACGCGCAUCUCCUGACGCCCGGAAGAGCAGCUCGACGCCCCCACCAACACGGCCGCUCAUGCCCUCGGCUUACGGUGACCUUGGAAGAACUCUAGCUGCAUCUUUGUCCUUACUUCUGUUUCUCUUUCCGUCGGAGCUCUGCGCCUACUGUCCCAGCGCUCCCCAUCCCUAAGCAAAGGUGCCCACUUGGACGAGACCGUUGCAGGAAGCCGCCCUCGUACCCACCAGAGAUAAAGCCAAAAUGGGAAUUUUGCUGCCAGCCGA
rnacentral:lncRNA from 1 species